UUAAUCCAGACUCUGUGGGGGACCUCGAGCUGUAGCGUCUCAUGGGGACUACAAUUUCCAGGGGCACCUGAGACACACUCAAUAAUCUGCAGACCUCAGCAAGAGACUUCACAUUAAUGAUAUUCUACCCUUCAGUGGUGUUGACCUGUGAUGUUUGAGGUACCACUGAAGCUAUCACUGCAUUUCAUAUGGAGGGUUCACUUCUUCACUUUACCUGAGGAACUCCAUCUGUGGUCAUGUCCAACUUGACUUCAAGCAUCUGUCAAACCUGCUGAUGUGUGCGUCGGACAACGUGGGCGAUUUUAUUUGCCGGAUUUGAACUGGUUCUUCACCUGGUUUCUUCCUCUGUAUAAAAAUGGUUUCUAGUAGUUAAUCUGUUUGGCCCCUGGAGGCUUGCAGUGUGCAGUUACAGAAAAUGGCUUCUAGUCUGAUUUAUGCUGUUCACAACUGAAGCUCUCAAAGGUACUUCACUGGGGAUGGACUAGAAGAACACUGGAUUUGUCCCAGGAUGACAAGACAGAGAAAUCUAAUCUGGAAAACAAUGGCAAUACAUUGACUGUGCCGGUGAAGUCAUUGUGUAUUCACUUCUGUGCAUAUGCAAAUUUU